CAAUUUUUAGAGAUUUUUUUUGGUGCAAAUAUAUGAUUUUUAGAAUAUAAAAUGAGAAAUCUAUGAAAAAUAAAUAUUAUUUGAUAUAUGAUUGUAAAUGAGGGUAUAUUUGUCAUUUGUUAUUUUUGGCUGAAUCAUCUCCAACCAAAUGCUCCAAUCAUGUUCAUCCAGAUGAGUUUGACAAAUUUGCCUAAAAUUACAAACUCAUUCAGAUGAUCCAUCCAACUGAUUCAUCCAAAUGCUCUGUUAAAUUGUCAAAAACGAACAUCAUUCUUCAUCUCCAUCCAGAUAAUCCAUCUGAAUAGAGAAACGAACAUGGCUUGUAUGAGACGUGAAUCACGCCUCCCCCAUCGUGUGAUACAUCAAACUUAUGUUUGCUACAUAUAUAUUUAAUUUGCUUGUUUCAUAUAAGACACUGCAGAAAACCAAUCAUUUAUUUAAUAAAAUAGAAUCACUAAAAUAAUCACAAAUAAAUUAUACAUGUAUAAAACCAUAUAUGAUUAAUAAUAUUUAUGCUCUUUCUUUAUAAGCUUUUUACUCUAUUUGUUUUUGUUUAUGGGCCUUUUCCUCUGCGGGAUUUUGAAGGAGGUACAUAAAAACGAGGGGGAGGGGGAGGAAUUGGUGGAGACGGCGUCUUUAUACCUGCAAGCAAUAUUGAAGAUAUUGUUUCAUUAAAUAAUUUACAACCAUUAAAUAUACAAUUAUCAAAAAUAAAUCAAUUGAAAAUAUACAAAUAUAAAUAAUUAGGUAAUACAUCUAAACAUAUGCGCCAUAACAAUAAAUAAAAAGACGGAAGCGUUAACGUUUUCAAUAAAUUCUAAAAUUUAAUAUAAUAUUUAACAGCAAACAAAUAAAAAUUUAUGAGUAAACAUAUGAGUUAGUUAAUGUGUGUAUCAUUUUUUUUCCAUUUUGCCUUCAAUUCUUCAUAAUUCUAAAAUUCAUAUAUAAAUAUGUAUAAGAAAAAAAGGAAUAUAAAUAAGGUCUGCUUACAUAUUGUGUAAAGAAAAAUCUUUGGCAAAAAGGAUUACUAUUGGUUUCUAGUUUUCACAUCAUAAUCGUUUUCUCUUUCUGUUUCUUGAUUAAAUCUAUUUUCAAACAAGGUUUAGAAUGGUCAAUAGAAUCAUAAUGAUUGCUCAUAUACCCGAGAAAUGAAAAAUGAUUUAAUAAUCAUGCUAAAAAAAAAAAAAAAAAAAAACUCUAAUGUAAACAGUCAAAUAGCCUACAUAUAUAAUCCUAGAUUUAAAGGUUACAUAAAUUACUUAAUUAUCAUACAUGGUAUAUGAUUUGAUAUCUAGAAAAUUAAUACUUAGAAGAAAAAAAAAAACACAAAAUGAAAAAAAAAACAUCAAAAUGAGUGCAAAUACUAACUUUGGUCGCGUUGGGCUUCUGUGAAUCCAACUUGAGAGGAGAUAAACAGAAGCAAAAGAAGUAAAGACAAAAGAAGAGAAACUAAAUGUGAUAUCUUGGUCGCCAUUUAUGGUCCACUUUGUCUCUCUACCGUAGCAAAAGACCAUCUCAUGCUAUC
rnacentral:lncRNA from 1 species